GUGAACCUUUACUAUAGCUUGACACUGAACAUUGAGCCUUGAUGUGUAGGAUAGGUGGGAGGCUUAGAAGUGUGGACGCCAGUCUGCAUGGAGCCGACCUUGAAAUACCACCCUUUAAUGUUUGAUGUUCUAACGUUGACCCGUGAUCCGGGUUGCGGACAGUGUCUGGUGGGUAGUUUGACUGGGGCGGUCUCCUCCUAAAGAGUAACGGAGGAGCACGAAGGUUGGCUAAUCCUGGUCGGACAUCAGGAGGUUAGUGCAAUGGCAUAAGCCAGCUUGACUGCGAGCGUGACGGCGCGAGCAGGUGCGAAAGCAGGUCAUAGUGAUCCGGUGGUUCUGAAUGGAAGGGCCAUCGCUCAACGGAUAAAAGGUACUCCGGGGAUAACAGGCUGAUACCGCCCAAGAGUUCAUAUCGACGGCGGUGUUUGGCACCUCGAUGUCGGCUCAUCACAUCCUGGGGCUGAAGUAGGUCCCAAGGGUAUGGCUGUUCGCCAUUUAAAGUGGUACGCGAGCUGGGUUUAGAACGUCGUGAGACAGUUCGGUCCCUAUCUGCCGUGGGCGCUGGAGAACUGAGGGGGGCUGCUCCUAGUACGAGAGGACCGGAGUGGACGCAUCACUGGUGUUCGGGUUGUCAUGCCAAUGGCACUGCCCGGUAGCUAAAUGCGGAAGAGAUAAGUGCUGAAAGCAUCUAAGCACGAAACUUGCC
rnacentral:rRNA from 1 species